UAUUAUCUUUUCAAAGAGCCAAUUCGAUCUCCGCUUCUUAUCUUACCUUCAAGACAUGGCAACCCAACCCCUCUCUCUAUCAACAACAAUGAUUUCAAAACUACAAAUAACUCAUGUUGAAGAGAAGAUCAUCAUACAACAAGUUAAGGAUACACAUAAUUCAAAUGGUGGCAUAGAUGUCGAUGCAAAUUCUCUUCUCAAGUUUGUGGAAGCCAUUUUUAAUUUCAAUACGGAUGAAGACGACAACAAAUAAUACUAGAGUGUGUGUUCCACUUGCACCGCGUGUUAGAGUUGCUGUGAUGGUCUACAUGCAUGUAUAAUGUAUUAUAUUUGUACUUGUACGUUCUUAAUUAGUUGAAUAUAGUUCAUACUUGGGGUUGGAAACUUUUAUUUAUAUUAUUAAUUCUUGAUACAUGCUAGUGUUGCUGAUGA